rnacentral:rRNA from 1 species
GUCUAUAACUAUGCUACCCUAAACAUGCCUGAUCUUGUCUGAUCUCCAAAGCUAAGUGGGGUUGGUCCUGGCUAGCUCUGCGAUGGGAGAAAUGCCAUAUUGUGCUGCUGCUACAAAUU